rnacentral:rRNA from 1 species
UACGUAGGGGGCAAGCGUUAUCCGGAUUUACUGGGUGUAAAGGGAGCGUAGACGGCUUUGCAAGCCAGAUGUGAAAGCCCGGGGCUCAACCCCGGGACUGCAUUUGGAACUGUAUGGCUGGAGUGUCGGAGAGGCAGGCGGAAUUCCUAGUGUAGCGGUGAAAUGCGUAGAUAUCACGCAGAACUCCGAUUGCGAAGGCAGCAUACCGGCGCCCUACUGACGCUGAGGCACGAAAGCGUGGGUAUCGAACAGG